ACGAACGCUGGCGGCGUGCUUCACCCAUGCCAGUCGAACGGAAAGGCCCUGCUUUUGUGGGGUGCUCGAGUGGCGAACGGGUGAGUAACACGUGAGUAACCUGCCCUUGACUUUGGGAUAACUUCAGGAAACUGGGGCUAAUACCGGAUAGGAGCUCCUGCUGCAUGGUGGGGGUUGGAAAGUUUCGGCGGUUGGGGAUGGACUCGCGGCUUAUCAGCUUGUUGGUGGGGUAGUGGCUUACCAAGGCUUUGACGGGUAGCCGGCCUGAGAGGGUGACCGGCCACAUUGGGACUGAGGUACGGCCCAGACUCCUACGGGAGGCAGCAGUGGGGAAUAUUGCACAAUGAGCGGAAGCCUGAUGCAGCAACGCCGCGUGCGGGAUGACGGCCUUCGGGUUGUAAACCGCUUUCGCCUGUGACGAAGCGUGAGUGACGGUAAUGGGUAAAGAAGCACCGGCUAACUACGUG
rnacentral:rRNA from 1 species